CAGCAAUGAAGACUUCAUCUGAGACCCAUUUAAAACCGUCACAAUCUGUACAAGUGAGGUUUGAUUUUGCAGUGGGCAGUUUUUGAAGCAAUGACCAGAUUCUCCGCAAGCGUAACAACCAUUCUCUACUGGUAAUUUCACCAUCUUGCAUUUGACAGGAUCGAUGGCAUCGUCAAACCAUUCAAAGUACUGACAGGGCCUAAUUUAUAUGAAUGAAGCUGAAUCUGACCGUUACAAAUCCAACCG